rnacentral:rRNA from 1 species
GACGAACGCUGGCGGCGUGCCUAAUACAUGCAAGUCGAACGCAGUGGGGACGGGUGAGUAACAAGUGGGUAACCUCCCAUCAGAGGGGAUAAAACUUGGAAACAGGUGCUAAACCGAUACUGAAGGAGGGACCCGGGGGGCAUUAGCUAGUUGGUGAGGUAACGGCUUACCAAGGCUACGAUGCUUAGCCGGCCUGAGAGGGUGAUCGGCCACACUGGGACGGAGACACGGCCCAGACUCCUACGGGAGGCAGCAGUGGGGAAUAUUCGGCAAUGGACGAAAGUCUGACCGAGCCACGCCGCGUGUAUGAAGAAGGUUUUCGGAUCGUAAAGCUCUGUUGUUAGAGAAGCGGUAUCUAACCAGAAAGCCACGGCUAACUACGUGCCAGCAGCCGCGGUAAUAC